rnacentral:misc_RNA from 1 species
GAUGAAGAACGUAGCGAAAUGCGAUAAGUAAUGUGAAUUGCAGAAUUCAGUGAAUCAUCGAAUCUUUGAACGCACAUUGCGCCCGCCAGUAUUCUGGCGGGCAUGCCUGUUCGAGCGUCAUUUCAACCCUCAGGCCCCCAGUGCCUGGUGUUGGGGAUCGGCAGCAGGGCGUCAAGCCCGCCGGCCCCGAAAUCUAGUGGCGGUCUCGCUGUAGUCCUCCUCUGCGUAGUAGCACAACCUCGCAGUUGGAACGCGGCGGUGGCCAUGCCGUUAAACACCCCACUUCUGAAAGUUGACCUCGGAUCAGGUAGGAAUACCCGCUGAACUAAGCAUAUCAAUAAGCGGAGGA